rnacentral:rRNA from 1 species
CGUGUAGGCGGUUUAAUAAGUCAGAUGUAAAAGCCCCCGGCUCAACCGGGGAUGGUCAUCUGAAACUGUUAGGCUUGAGUGCGAGAGAGGGUAGUGGAAUUCCCAGUGUAGCGGUGAAAUGCGUAGAUAUUGGGAAGAACACCAGUAGCGAAGGCGGCUACCUGGCUCGCAACUGACGCUAAGGCGCGAAAGCGUGGGGAGCAAACA